AUUGAACGCUGGCGGCAGGCUUAACACAUGCAAGUCGAGCGGAGAUGAGGUGCUUGCACCUUAUCUUAGCGGCGGACGGGUGAGUAAUGCUUAGGAAUCUGCCUAUUAGUGGGGGACAACAUUCCGAAAGGAAUGCUAAUACCGCAUACGUCCUACGGGAGAAAGCAGGGGAUCUUCGGACCUUGCGCUAAUAGAUGAGCCUAAGUCGGAUUAGCUAGUUGGUGGGGUAAAGGCCUACCAAGGCGACGAUCUGUAGCGGGUCUGAGAGGAUGAUCCGCCAAACUGGGACUGAGACACGGACCAGACUCCUACGGGAGGCAGCAGUGGGGAAUAUUGGACAAUGGGGGGAACCCUGAUCCAGCCAUGUCGCGUGUGUGAAGAAGGCCUUAUGGUUGUAAAGCACUUUAAGCGAGGAGGAGGCUACUGAGACUAAUACUCUUGGAUAGUGGACGUUACUCGCAGAAUAAGCACCGGCUAACUCUGUGCCAGCCGCCGCAGUAACAC
rnacentral:rRNA from 1 species